rnacentral:rRNA from 1 species
AAAUUGAAGAGUUUGAUCAUGGCUCAGAUUGAACGCUGGCGGCAGGCCUAACACAUGCAAGUCGAACGGUAACAGGAAACAGCUUGCUGUUUCGCUGACGAGUGGCGGACGGGUGAGUAAUGUCUGGGAAACUGCCUGAUGGAGGGGGAUAACUACUGGAAACGGUAGCUAAUACCGCAUAACGUCGCAAGACCAAAGAGGGGGACCUUCAGGCCUCUUGCCAUCGGAUGUGCCCAGAUGGGAUUAGCUUGUUGGUGGGGUAA